rnacentral:rRNA from 1 species
GACGAACGCUGGCGGCGUGCCUAAUACAUGCAAGUAGAACGCAGUUGCGAACGGGUGAGUAACGCGUAGGUAACUGCCUCAUAGCGGGGGAUAACUAUUGGAAACUAUAGCUAAUACCGCAUACUGUGAGAUUGACCUUCGUUGUAUUAGAUAGUUGGUGAGGUAAAGGAUCACCAAGGCGAGGAUACAUAGCCGAACUGAGAGGGUGAUCGGCCACACUGGGACUGAGACACGCGCCAGACGCCUACGGGAGGGAGCAGUAGGGAAUCUGCGGCAAUGGGUGGAAGUCUGACCGAGAAACGCCGCGUGAGUGAAGAAGGGUUUCGGAUCGUAAAGCGAUGUUGUUAGAGAAGCGGUAACUAAACAGAAAGGAACGGCUAACUACGUGCCAGCAGCCGCGGUAAUUC